rnacentral:rRNA from 1 species
GAUGAACGCUGGCGGCGUGCCUAAUACAUGCAAGUCGAGCGAACGGACGAGAAGCUUGCUUCUCUGAUGUUAGCGGCGGACGGGUGAGUAACACGUGGAUAACCUACCUAUAAGACUGGGAUAACUUCGGGAAACCGGAGCUAAUACCGGAUAAUAUUUUGAACCGCAUGGUUCAAAAGUGAAAGACGGUCUUGCUGUCACUUAUAGAUGGAUCCGCGCUGCAUUAGCUAGUUGGUAAGGUAACGGCUUACCAAGGCAACGAUGCAUAGCCGACCUGAGAGGGUGGACGGCCAGACGGGCAGUGAGACACGGCCGAGACUCCGACAGGGGGCAGCAGUAGGGAAUCUUCCGCGAUGGGGGAAAGGCUGACAGAGCAACGCCGCGGGAAUGAUGAAGGUCUUCGGAUCGGAGAGCGCUGUUAUUAGGGAAGAUCAAAAGUGUAAGUAACUGUGCACAUCUUGACGGUACCGAGUCAGAAAGCCACGGCUAACUACGUG